rnacentral:rRNA from 1 species
AUACGUAGGGAGCAAGCGUUGUCCGGAUUUACUGGGUGUAAAGGGUGCGUAGGCGGCUCUGCAAGUCAGGUGUGAAAACUAUGGGCUUAACCCAUAGAUUGCACUUGAAACUGUGGGGCUUGAGUGAAGUAGAGGCAGGCGGAAUUCCCGGUGUAGCGGUGAAAUGCGUAGAGAUCGGGAGGAACACCAGUGGCGAAGGCGGCCUGCUGGGCUUUAACUGACGCUGAGGCACGAAAGCGUGGGUAGCAAACAGGAUUAGAUACCCUGGUAGUCCAUGCUGUAAACGAUGAUUACUAGGUGUGGGGGGUCUGACCCCCUCCGUGCCGGAGUUAACACAAUAAGUAAUCCACCUGGGAAGUACGACCGCAAGGUUGAA